GGAUGUGUCAGAAGGGGUGGGAAAUUGUCCGCCCAACCCUCUUUGGUGAACCUUGUCCGCCCUCUUCGGUGAAUGGGAGGAGACAAGGUAUAUUUCUUUUGAAUGGGAGAAGCAUGGAAAGAAGAUGCUUUUCCCCCUAAGCCCUUCGCUCUACCCCGACUUCUUAAAUGGAGGAGAUGAGGAAUGAUUUCUCUUGACUUCACAUCACCUAGAAGUAACCGGUUGUGCACAGUGAGGCUGAGAGCAAAGUUUCAUUCAACCACUAGCUUAAUUCGUUUGAUGUUUUUGUUGAAGAUAAGAGUGAUUUCUUCCCUCUAAUUUAUACAGGUGUGAAAAUGAUAAAUAAUUUUCUUUAUUGAUCUCUGUUCUCUUAUAGGUGCCAUGGAAUUUUUCAAAAAAAUGAAUAUAGCUGAAUUGGACAUUGGAGAUUAUCUUGAAAAUUAGGAGCUUAAUCAGGAUGAGACACCUUUGCUCUAUAGCUUGGAAUUUGGUGAAGGAGUUGUAAAUGAUGCUACAUCAGUGGUGCUUUUCAAAGCGAUUCAGAAAUUUGAUCUAGUUCAUGUUGACUUCACUAUAGUGUUGUAGUUUGUUGUAAACUUCUUUUAUUUGUUUUUAGCAAGCACCUUGCUUGGGGCAGUUGUAAGUUCUGACCCAAUUUACUAUGGAUGUAUUUAUUAUGUUAUAGUUUUUCUGAUAUUUUAACU